rnacentral:misc_RNA from 1 species
CUGGCAAGGGCAUUUUAGUCUAUUCAUAUAAGAAACUUCAACCUCACGUUCGGUGUAUUGGCGAAAGUCUUUCUUGGAGAUUCUCCACGUACAAGUUCACAUAAGCUCAGGCACUUGAAUGGUUUUUAAGAGUCAAAAGUAGUUUAACGGUUAGACUUUCUAAUAUUUUGAACCAAUAAAUUUCUUUACGGUGGGCGAAAUUCAGUGAAG